CUGCACUGAAAGCUUUAUCGCGUAAGGAAGUGCACUAUGGAGCAUAUGGGACAUCUGAGCAGGUGAAUACAGCUGGUGAUCUAUGCACUAUAUGGCAAGAGAAGAUGCACGCUCCUAUCCUACUUCGUUGCAAGCUCAUUUUCUGUGAGGACUGUGUUUCAGAAUGGGUGAGAGGUGGGAUGAUGAAUUGAGGUGGAACUUGAAAGAUGGCAAUAAGAAGGGCUUAGAUUUUGAAUAAGUCUACUAAAACGUCUGUUAAAGCCCCUCGAAAGAGUUGGUUGUUACUUGAAGUGAUCAAGAACUCAAGGGAGACUUUACAAGAAAAAUAUGCUCCAUUGCAACAGAGCAAGUUAUUUCUUUUUAGGGGAAAAAUAAUAGAGCAGGCUGGAACUUUUGUGAAAGUUGACGUAUGGCAUGCCCUUAAUCUCAUGAUACAGAUUUUAUAGAGCAUUCCAAACAUCUCCUUGGAUGACCCUCUCGGUGAUCCCAACCCCUUCGGCAACUCUUACAGUCUUGCUGCACUCUCUACGCCGCCCGUCUUUCUCACCAAUCCAUCGAACACAGGCUU